CAUCUCGAGUGCUCAAUAUCCGUUUUUCGGUCUACAAUAUAUCUAGGGUGCACUUUGGAUAUGUCAGAUUCUCCGAACGUCAUAUUCAAGAUCUCAGUAGUACCCAAUGUGGUGGUGUGGGGUUGCAGAGCAUUAGAUUCAAUAAUUCCAGGGCCAGAAGCAGAAUUGAAUAAUGAUUCUAAGUUUUUCUCUCGUUGUUAUGAAUGGCGAUUAAACAUGGAAAUCGGGGAGGUUAAUGAGAAAUAUCUCAUUGAUGGACCAAAUCAGUUCAUGGAUUUUCCUGUACUCAAUGAAAGUUUUAUAGGAGUUAAGAAUAAAUACGCAUACACCCAAGUGGUGGAUCCCAAUGCAAGCUUUGUUGCAGAUAUGCCAAAAUAUGAGGUCUAGCUAAGUUAUACUUUGAAGAACAAUUAUCAUUUGAGGAAAAGAUCAUAAGAACGGAAUAUUAUGCAUUUGAAAGCAGCAAUGUAUUCUGCACUCGCCUCGCCUUUGUCCCUAAAGAAAAAGGGGGCAUUGAAAUGGAAGAAGAAGAUGGUUGGAUCAUUGCUUUUGUUCAUAAUGAAGACACUAACUUAUCACAAGUUCAUAUAAUUGAUGGAAAGAAGUUAAGUGGUGAGGCAGUUGCCAAGAUUACAUUGCCAUGCAGAGUUCCUUACGACUUUCAUGGAACUUUCAUGCCAAUCUCUUUUCAGCCCCCAACUCCCUCAUCAUAGCUCUAUUUAUGUUAUGUAUAUAUGUCAUUGCUAUUUAGCCAUCAUAUUAUACAUUUAAUAUAAUAAGGCCAACACAAUGCAAUGCUUGAA